GACGAACCGUGCGAACGUUAUUCGGAAUCACUGGGCUUAAAGCGCGUGUAGGCGGUGCGGGGCGUCGGCCGCUGAAAUCCCCCGGCUCAACCGGGGAAGGGGCGCCGAUACGACCGCCCUGGAGCGACGUAGGGGGGACUGGAACUUCCGGUGGAGCGGUGAAAUGCGUUGAGAUCGGAAGGAACGCCCGUGGCGAAAGCGAGUCCCUGGACGUCGGCUGACGCUGAGACGCGAAAGCCAGGGGAGCGAACGGG
rnacentral:rRNA from 1 species